GGCAAGGUGGCCGAGCGGUUAUGGCGGUAGACUCAAGUUACAUUGAUAACUUUCCCCAUGAACUUGUAAAAGAAAAACAUGGGGAAUUGUGGAUUUCUACUCUCGAAAGAGGCAUGGGUUCGAAUCCCAUUCUUGUCA